rnacentral:rRNA from 1 species
UCGAGAAUUUUUCUCAAUGGGCGCAAGCCUGAAGGAGCGACGCCGCGUGUGGGAUGAAGGGUUUCGAUCCGUAAACCACUGUCAUUUGUGAACAAUGGUUAUCCGUGAAUAACGGGUGACUUGAUAGUAAUGAAAGAGGAAGGGACGGCUAACUCUGUGCCAGCAGCCGCGGUAAUACAGAGGUCCCAAGCGUUGUUCGGAUUCACUGGGCGUAAAGGGUGCGCAGGUGGCGCUUCAAGUUUGAUGUGAAAGCUUCGGGCUCAACCCGGAAAUGGCAUUGAAUACUGGAGUGCUGGAGGUUUGGAGGGGGGACUGGAAUUCUCGGUGUAGCAGUGAAAUGCGUAGAUAUCGAGAGGAACACCAGUGGCGAAGGCGAGUCCCUGGACAACACCUGACACUGAGGCACGAAAGCUAGGGGAGCAAACAGG